CCUACGGGAGGCAGCAGUGGGGAAUAUUGCACAAUGGGGGAAACCCUGAUGCAGCGACGCCGCGUGAGUGAAGAAGUAUUUCGGUACGUAAAGCUCUAUCAGCAGGGAAGAAAAUGACGGUACCUGACUAAGAAGCCCCGGCUAACUACGUGCCAGCAGCCGCGGUAAUACGUAGGGGGCAAGCGUUAUCCGGAUUUACUGGGUGUAAAGGGAGCGUAGACGGCAGCGCAAGUCUGGAGUGAAAUCCCAUGGCUUAACCAUGGAACUGCUUUGGAAACUGUGCAGCUAGAGUGCAGGAGAGGUAAGCGGAAUUCCUAGUGUAGCGGUGAAAUGCGUAGAUAUUAGGAGGAACACCAGUGGCGAAGGCGGCUUACUGGAAUGUAACUGACGUUGAGGCUCGAAAGCGUGGGGAGCAAACAGGAUUAGAUACCCGGGUAGUC
rnacentral:rRNA from 1 species